rnacentral:rRNA from 2 species
UUGAGUCUCCUGAAGGAACGUUGAAGACGAUGACGUUGAUAGGUCGGGUGUGUAAGCGCAGCGAUGCGUUGAGCUAACCGAUACUAAUGAACCGUGAGGCUUAACCUU